rnacentral:SRP_RNA from 1 species
GCCGGGCAUGGUGGUGCAUGCCUGUAGUCCCAGUUACUUGGGAGGCUGUGGUGAGAGAAUUGCUUGAGCCUGGGAGGUCGAGGCUGCAGUGAGCCGUGGUUGUGUCACUGUACUCCAGCCUGGGCAACAGAGCGAGACCCUGUCUCAA